AUGCAUUUAUUCCAGCGAAGAGCGGAAAGUAACUUGCAAAAAUAUAUUCUUCCAUCCUUUUAUUAUUAUUAAUUUAUUAAAUUAAACAGCACGUUAACACAAUUUUGGGUAGUUUUCGACGCCACUUGCCCUACCAGCUCCCGCUCAGAUCUUAUCGCUACGUCAUCACCGCGGACAUAAUCAAAAUGUAUCGAAUUGAUUGACCCCCCGCAUCGCAAGUUUCAGUACAUUUUGUGGAGAGCGCACUUACCGCCUCAAGAACGUCAAAAUAAAUAUAAAAAUUGACUUGCCCUGACCAGACCUAUGAAAACUGAGAAUCUGAC